UGGGGAAUAUUGGACAAUGGGCGAAAGCCUGAUCCAGCCAUGCCGCGUGUGUGAAGAAGGUCUUCGGAUUGUAAAGCACUUUAAGUUGGGAGGAAGGGCAUUAACCUAAUACGUUAGUGUUUUGACGUUACCGACAGAAUAAGCACCGGCUAACUCUGUGCCAGCAGCCGCGGUAAUACAAAGGGUGCAAGCGUUAAUCGGAAUUACUGGGCGUAAAGCGCGCGUAGGUGGUUUGUUAAGUUGGAUGUGAAAGCCCCGGGCUCAACCUGGGAACUGCAUCCAAAACUGGCAAGCUAGAGUACGGUAGAGGGUGGUGGAAUUUCCUGUGUAGCGGUGAAAUGCGUAGAUAUAGGAAGGAACACCAGUGGCGAAGGCGACCACCUGGACUGAUACUGACACUGAGGUGCGAAAGCGUGGGGAGCAAACA
rnacentral:rRNA from 1 species